GUUGCUGUCUUUUACCAAGUUGGGUAUUGGGCAUGAAACACGUUUCAAAUCUGUACAUGGUGAAGAUUCAGAGUUCUUGGGCGAAUAUCAGAAUUUUCACAAGUACGUUUCAUUGUUUCAAUGUCCUGGAGUUAGCUGUCACAAUGAGUAUUCAUUCUUCCAGAGCUUCAAAAGGUUCAUACAGUAAGUUGUACAGCCAUUGCUUUACAGCGCCCUCUCUGGACCAACCAUAACCAUCCCAGUGAUGCCGGGAGGUGGG